rnacentral:rRNA from 1 species
GUGGGGAAUAUUGGACAAUGGGCGAAAGCCUGAUCCAGCCAUGCCGCGUGUGUGAAGAAGGUCUUCGGAUUGUAAAGCACUUUAAGUUGGGAGGAAGGGCAGUAAGCUAAUACCUUGCUGUUUUGACGUUACCGACAGAAUAAGCACCGGCUAACUUCGUGCCAGCAGCCGCGGUAAUACGAAGGGUGCAAGCGUUAAUCGGAAUUACUGUGCGUAAAGCGCGCGUAGGUGGUUUUGUAAGUUGAAGGUGAAAUCCCCGGGCUCAACCUGGGAACUGCCUCCAAAACUGCAUGACUAGAGUACGGUAGAGGGUAGUGGAAUUUCCUGUGUAGCGGUGAAAUGCGUAGAUAUAGGAAGGAACACCAGUGGCGAAGGCGACUACCUGGACUGAUACUGACACUGAGGUGCGAAAGCGUGGGGAGCAAACAGGAUUAGAAACCCCGGUAGUCC